ensembl:snRNA U6 U6 spliceosomal RNA
GUGCUUGCUUCGGCAGCACAUAUACUAAAAUUGGAACGAUACAAAGAAGAUUAGCAUGGCCCCUGCACAAGGAUGACACGCAAAUUCGUGAAGCAUUCCAUAUUUUA